rnacentral:rRNA from 1 species
CCCUCUGUACUCCCGUAUACCCGGGUGACCAUUGUUUAAAUUUUCCUCAGAUUUACGUUUUGCGGCUUCCCUAUUCUAUAGGGGCUAGGAAUAGAGCACGAACACUGAGACUGGUACCGUUUGGUGACGGCAAGCAUGUCAAUGAUAAGGGACACCCCUUAAAAAGAUCGGCAGUAGAGGUAACCACCAGCCCUUGAGGUCAGUCUACCGUGGCGCGGCCCUCCGGGUCCCGGCUCCUGGCGGCUGCGGCCCUCAGAGGCGAGCGGAGACCGACAACGCCCUCCGAUGGAAGCGCGGCUCGUCUUGGUCCGGCUGCCGGUACCAACCAUCGACCGCAGCGGCACGACGCUCUCGCGACGGCGGUAUCUGCCGACAUGGCUCCUUCUGGCGCCUACGCCCGUGGUGGCAACCGCAGGUCCUCUUCCCCUCCCUCCCCGCUCCGGUGCGGUACGCAGGUUCCAGCGCAGCGUAGCGGCUAGCGUGGCAGCGCGGCACGUCCCGUGGCCGACAUCCGGCGGCUGCAGGCGGCCCGACGCCAGCGACGAUGGUCAAGCUCCCUCCAGCCACGUACGCGGCGAACGAGGACGGCACGGACCCCCGUAGAUACCGGCGACCGGCGGAGGGCAAUUCCGGCUUCCGGUACCAACGCGGCCUGUCGCAAUGCAACGGCAACGGUCGUCCAAUCAUGACUAAGACACAUCCUUGUUCUUUUUAACCUUAUCCUAGUGGACUACUACAUCGUUAAUUCUAGGUUCUCAAAACUAAACAUACGAAGUACACACUUCAUGCCUAAGACUCUUAGUCCUACGAGAUCAAGCACUGAAAGGUACAUGAUUAGUUUAAGAAGCUACGAGAUGAAAGAGGAAGAGACCAGUACCGGCUUAAACAAAGAAGCCGGCUAACGAAAAAAAAGAAGGUGAAACACACAAAGCGCACUCACUUAUACGCAUUCCUAUUUGUUAGGAAAGAAUCUAAUGACUAACUGGUGUUCUUUUGUACUAGAUUAUCUGUCUCUAAUUUUAUCCCUUUGUGAUGAUCAAAAGGACUAGUUCCGGAAAUUAGGAACCUAGCAACCCCUAUCUGUUCUAGACAAGAAGUAGGAGACGUUACUACAAGACGAGAAGAGAACAGGCCGGUUUAGCGAGCUAUCCUCUCGUUUCACGUACUAUUCCACAAAAUUCACUUUUUAUUUUUUGCUCUCUCAAACUUACUUUCUACUAGGUAGUCAGAAAUAAUUACUAUCUUCACCCCAUAAACAUGGUGCACCUUCAUGUGUACUACGAACCGCCAGUUCAUUUAUGUAUCAAUGAAUUCUCGGUUCCUUAAUAUAUCAACAGAACUUUCGGUACUUUCCUGUACCAACGAACUCUUGGUUUGUUGGAUAGAUUAUCAAUUGAAUUAAGAUUAAUUGAAUUAAUUAUUCGUUGAUAAGAUAAGAAUUGUUCAGGUUCACUCGCACAGUAGUAGGACAUCGAUAGAAGUAUAUCUGGUGUGCACCUUUCCGGUCUUCAGUUGCACAGCUCUCUUCUGUCGUCGUCCUGAUGGUCAUACAUGGCGAGAGGAGAGGCUCUCUUUUAUGUCAGGUGUAUUUAUACUUCCUAGUAAAAAUGAGGGAGCAUCAAAUCUAAAAAUACAACAAGUAGCAGAAAUAAAAUUGCCGCUGUUAUUGCCACAACUUAUUUCUAAGAAGCCUAGAAAGAAACUGCUCGGUAGACAGGAUACCAAACCCUACCUAUACCUUUGGUCAAACAAGUUCAUUCCUGCCGCACUGCCGCCGCCGUAGGAGUACUACCUGGACACAGGAGCCCGAGGCGGCAACGCUGCCGCAAACGAAGUCGUUGCCGCGCCUCGAACCCUCCAUCAGGUCUUCGCCUACGUCUAACACCAGACGUAGCUGUUUUAGACCUUCUGUCUUGUACACGACCCGAGCACCAAGCACCUACAACCAUACCAAAGGAGGAAGCCGCAGAAUUAGUACCACCCCACGGUCUAGACCUCAAGCUACUGUACAGGUCCUACAACAGAGCCAGACAAAGCAAAUUGCUGUUCCCGAAGUAAAAACUACUCGGUGGAACUUCCAGGUGCUUCGACGUAUAGUCGCUACCUCGGCACAGCUCGAGCCCACUCCUCCACUAAAAAGUAAGAAAAGAAGCCACCGACGAUACCACCACGGCCUCUGACCACUGCACGUAACCACAGUUUGAGUUUUUACAAGACGAUAGAAAAGUCAAAAUAGUAUAGCCAGAAAU